rnacentral:rRNA from 1 species
CAGCAGCCGCCGCGGGAAUACGAAGGGGGCUAGCGUUGUUCGGAUUUACUGGGCGUAAAGGGCGCGUAGGCGGGCGAAUCAGUCAGGGGUGAAAUCCCAAGGCUCAACCUUGGAACUGCCUUUGAUACUGUUUGUCUUGAGUUCGAGAGAGGUAAGUGGAACUGCGAGUGUAGAGGUGAAAUUCGUAGAUAUUCGCAAGAACACCAGUGGCGAAGGCGGCUCACUGGCUCGAAACUGACGCUGAGGCGCGAAAGCGUGGGGAGCAAACAGGAUUAGAUACCCCCGUAGUCCCUGUCUCUUAUAA